rnacentral:rRNA from 1 species
GACGAACGCUGGCGGCGUGCUUAACACAUGCAAGUCGAGCGAUGAAGUUUCUUCGGAAAUGGAUUAGCGGCGAACGGGUGAGGAACACGUGAAGAAUCUGCCCUCCACUUUGGGAUAACACAGGGAAACCUGUGCUAAUACCGAAUAUUGAAACAUAAGUGGCAUCACUGAGUUUUGAAAGAAUUUCGGUGGAGGAUGACUUCGCGGCCUAUCAGCUAGUUGGUGAGGUAAUGGCUCACCAAGGCAACGACGGGUAGCCGGCCUGAGAGGGCGACCGGCCAAACUGGGACUGAGACACGGCCCAGACUCCUACGGGAGGCAGCAGUGGGGAAUAUUGCACAAUGGGCGCAAGCCUGAUGCAGCAACGCCGCGUGAGGGAUGACGGCCUUCGGGUUGUAAACCUCUUUUAGUAGGGAAGAAGCGAAAGUGACGGUACCUGCAGAAAAAGCACCGGCUAACUACGUGCCAGCAGCCGCCGUAA